GCUCCUGUAGCUCAGUGGCAGAGCGUCUGUCUUGUAAACAGAAGGUCCCGUGUUCAAUCCACGGCUGGAGCA